CGCUGCUGCUGCCCGACAAGCUGGAGGACCUGGAGGUGGUGCAGCAGCGCUUUGAGACCCUGGAGCCGGAGAUGAACAACCUGGCGUCCCGCGUGGCCGCCGUCAACCGCAUCGCCGAGGAGCUGCUGGCGUCCGACCGGCGCAACCAGGAGAGCAUCCGGGCCACUCAGGAGCAGCUCAACGCCAGCUGGGCCCGUUUCCGCGCGCUGGCCGAGCGCAAGAAGGCUGAGCUGAGCUCCGCUCUCAGC
rnacentral:lncRNA from 1 species